AUGCAGCUACGAAAUGCUCGACGAAUACACGGAAGAAACUUAUGCGCGAAACCUCGCCCAUGUCCGCUUCCGACGGCUCAGGAUGCAUGGUUGAACGGCGGAUCUCAACCGCUUGAGAAAGCAGAUCAUUCUUCACUGAGCGGUUCGUCACUCUUCCGCUUCGGCGUCUAUAAAAUUGGCCUCCCUUCUCCCGCCUCGUUAUCUCGCCUUCUUUCCCAUUUAUCAUCUCGUUCGUUCUUGGACCUCGAUCUUAAUGGCGAACCCAGGCGGGUCUUCUGCUUCCGAUGCGGAAAAAAGAGGAGGGAUACAAUUUGCAUUGCUCUAGCUGAUGAUACAUGUGAUGAACCAAAGAUCAAGAUGAAUAAGGUUGUUAGACUGAAUCUCAGAGUGAGGCUGGGAAAUAUUAUCUCAGUCCAUCAGUGCCAAUAUGUAAGUGUGUGAAGUGUGUUCGUAUUCUUCCUAUUGAUGACACAAUCUAAGGAGUUACAGAAAACCUCUUUGAUGCAUAUUUGAAGUCAUAUUUUCUGGAGGCAUACGCCCUGUUAGAAAAGGGGAUCUUUUCCUUGUCCGAGGAGGUAUGAGGAGUAUUGAAUUUAAAGUUAAGGAAACCGAUCCUGCAGAGUAUUGUAUUGUUGCUGCUGACACAGAUUUUCUGUGAGGGGGAACCUGUAAAAAGGGAGUAUGAGGACAGACUUGAUGAGGUGGGUUAUGAUGAUGUUGGAGGAGCUAGGAAACUAAUGGCUCAAAUAAGAGAGCUAGUAGAGCUACCUCUUAGACACCCUCAAUUGUUCAAGUCAAUUGGUGUCAAACCACCGAAAGGUAUUUUGUUUUAUGGACCGCCUGGUUCUGGGAAGAUGCUGAUAGCUAGGGUGGUUGCAAAUGAGAUGGGAGCCUUUUUCUUCUGCAUUAAUGGUCCAGAGAUCAUGGCAAAGCUAGCUGGUGAACAUGAGAACAAUUUGAGAAGGCUUUUGAAGAAGCAGAGAAAAAUGCACCAUCAAUUAUUUCUAUCGAUGAGAUCGAUUCCAUUGCUCCUAAGAGAGAAAAGACUAAUGGAUAAGUUGAGAGACGUAUAGUGUCUCAAUUGCUGACGCUGAUGAAUGGGCUAAAACAGUAUUGAUCCAGCUCUUAGAAUAUUUGGUAGGUUUGUUUGAGAAAUUGACAUUGGAGUUCCAGAUGAAGUAGGUCGCUUGGAGGUUCUUUGAAUCCAUACUAAGAACAUGAAGUUAGCUGAAGAUGUUGAUUUAGAAGGGAUAGCUAAGGACACUCGUGGGUAUGUUGGAGCUGACCUUGCCACUUUAUGCACUGAGGCAGCUCUCCAGUGUAGACGUGAGAAGAUGGGCAUAAUAUAUUUAGAGGAUGAAUCGAUUGAUGCUGAGAUUCUCAACUCAAUGGCUGUUACAAACGAACAUUUUAAGACUGCUCUUGGAUCAAGUAAUCCAUCUGCACUCCGUGAAACUGUUGUUGAAGUGCCAAAUGUUACCUGGUAUGAUAUUGGUGGGUUGGACAAUGUUAAGAGGGAGCUGCAAGAGACUGUGCAAUAUCUGGUUGAGCAUCCUGAGAAGUUUGAAAAGUUUGGGAUGUCCCCCUUCAAGGGAGUAUUGUUUUAUGGACCGCCCGGUCGUGGAAAGACCUUGUUAGCUACGGCCAUUGCUAAUGAAUGCCAAGUGAAUUUCAUCAGUGUCAAAGGUCCUGAAUUAUUGACUAUGUGGUUUGGUGAGAGUGAAGCAAAUGUGUGUGAAAUCUUUGACAAGGCUUCGUCAAUCUGUGCCCUGUGUUCUCUUUUCUGAUGAGCUUGACUCCACUGCAACCCAGAGAGGCAGCACUGUUGGCGAUGCAGGAGGUGCUGCUGAUAGGGUUCUUAAUCAGCUACUGACACAGAUGGAUGGCAUGAAUGGCAAGAAAACAGUGUUCAUUAUUGGGGCAACUAAAAUGCCUGACAUUAUAGAUCCUGUUUUGCUUAAGCCAGGCCGUCUUGACCAAUUGAUUUAUAUACCUUUACCAGAUAAGGCCUCUCGAUACCAAAUAUUUAAAGCUUGCUUGAGGAAGUCUUCUGUGUCUAAAGAUGUUAACUUGAGGGCUCUUGCCAAGUACUCUCAAGGAUUUAGUGGUGCAGAUAUUACAGAUAUUUGCCAACAUGCAUGCAAUUUUGCCAUUAGAGAAAACAUUGAAAAGGAUAUCGAAAGAGAAAGACGGAAAAGUGAGAAUCCUGAAGCAAUGGAGCAAGAUGAGGCUGAUGAAGUACCAGAGAUCAAAGCUGCUCAUUUUGAAGAAUCAAUGAAGUUUGCUCGUCGGAGUGUCAGUGUUGCAGACAUCCGGAAGUACCAGGCUAUUGCACAGACCUUGCAGCAGACAUCACACUGUGGCACUAUGGAGAUCUUUCAUGUUUACUAGAUCUCAUUCGGGACUCAAGAAACGAAUUUGAUGGUGAAGGUUCUGAAGAAUUCAAUGGUAUGGUUGCUCGCCAGUGAUUUGUUCAAUGUUCUGACUUAAUUGUUACCAUGUCCAAGGUAAAUCUUUUCAGCUCUGUUCCAAAUUAUCGCUUUCAUAUAUCAAGCUAAACCUUUUUGACUGGAUAUUAAAGUCCAGUCACACGUAAAUUAAAUACUAGAAAGCGACAGGUUUCCUGCAUUCUUCAAUGCAAGAUGUACUUGUGUGUCUCAAGGUUGUUGCUAUU